CCCUUAGAUGUUCUGGGCCGCACGCGCGCUACAAUGAUGAAUUCAACGAGUUUAUAACCUUGGUUGAAAAGCCUGGGUAAUCUUUUGAACUUUCGUCGUGAUGGGGCUAGACCCUUGCAAUUAUUGGUCUCCAACGAGGAAUUCCUAGUAAACGCAAGUCAUCAGCUUGCAUUGAUUACGUCCCUGCCCUUUGUACACACCGCCCGUCGCACCUACCGAUUGAAUGGUCCGGUGAAAUCUUUGGAUUGAAACUUUGGUUUGUUCACGCAAAACGCUGUUUUAAGAAGUUGAUUAAACCUUACCAUUUAGAGGAAGGUGAAGUCGUAACA
rnacentral:rRNA from 1 species